UGGGGAAUAUUGGACAAUGGGCGCAAGCCUGAUCCAGCAAUGCCGCGUGAGUGAUGAAGGCCUUCGGGUUGUAAAGCUCUUUCGCCCGCGACGAUGAUGACGGUAGCGGGAGAAGAAGCCCCGGCUAACUUCGUGCCAGCAGCCGCGGUAAUACGAAGGGGGCGAGCGUUGUUCGGAUUUACUGGGCGUAAAGGGCGCGUAGGCGGCGCUGGAAGUCAGGCGUGAAAGCCCCGGGCUCAACCUGGGAAUGGCGCUUGGGACUCUGGUGCUGGAGUUCGGGAGAGGAGCGUGGAAUUCCCAGUGUAGAGGUGAAAUUCGUAGAUAUUGGGAAGAACACCGGUGGCGAAGGCGGCGCUCUGGACCGAGACUGACGCUGAGGCGCGAAAGCGUGGGGAGCAAACAGGAUUAGAUACCCUGGUAGUCCACGCGGUAAACGAUGUGUGCUAGACGUUGGGGGGCCUAGCUCUCCGGUGUCGCCGCUAACGCUGUAAGC
rnacentral:rRNA from 1 species